AGAGAGAGACAUGCGCGCAUAUCAAUAAGCGGAGGAAAAGAAACUAACAUAGGAUUCCCUCAGUAACGGCGAGUGAAGCGGGAAGAGCUCAAAUUUGAAAUCUUCAAGGUUCUACCUUGACGAAUUGUAGUUUAAAGAAGUGUUUUCUGCUGAAGUUUUGGUAAAAGUUCUUUGGAAUAGGACAUCAUAGAGGGUGAGAAUCCCGUAUUUGACCAUUACUUUCAGCUUUGUGAUACACUUUCAAAGAGUCGGAUUGUUUGGGAAUGCAGUCCAAAAUGGGUGGUAAAUUUCAUCUAAAGCUAAAUAUUGGCGAGAGACCGAUAGCGAACAAGUACCGUGAGGGAAAGAUGAAAAGAACUUUGAAAAGAGAGUUAAACAGUACGUGAAAUUGUCAAAAGGGAAGCGUUUGACACCAGUGUUGUUUUCUCGAAAAUCAAUUAAAAAUGGCUCGAUUUUGUAUUGCUUGAGACCUUAAAAGCUCACUGUACAUUUUUCGUGUCCUUUUUUAAUGCACUUUUCGUUUAACAAGUCAACAUCAGUUUCUUUUGUUGUAAAAGGGUCAUUGGAAGGUGGCUUUCUUUUCGGAGAAAGUGUUUAUAGCCUUUGGCCUCUGCAAUCGAAGAGACUGAGGUCUGCAGCGUAGACUCUUCGGGGUUAGAUACAUUUGUGCUAAGUUAUAGCUUUUUAUAGACAACUUGUUGACUAUAAUUAGUCUUGUAGCUUACUCGCUUAUGCUAUUUUACCUACGCUUAGGAUGUUGAAGAUGUAGCACAUCAU
rnacentral:rRNA from 1 species